CCUACGGGUGACAGCAGUCGAGAAUCAUUCACAAUGGGGGAAACCCUGAUGGUGCGACGCCGCGUGGGGGAAUGAAGGUCUUCGGAUUGUAAACCCCUGUCAUGUGGGAGCAAAUUAAAAAGAUAGUACCACAAGAGGAAGAGACGGCUAACUCUGUGCCAGCAGCCGCGGUAAUACAGAGGUCUCAAGCGUUGUUCGGAAUCACUGGGCGUAAAGCGUGCGUAGGCGGUUUCGUAAGUCGUGUGUGAAAGGCGCGGGCUCAACCCGCGGACGGCCCAUGAUACUGCGAGACGAGAGUAAGGGAGGGGGAACGGGAAUGCCAGGUGUAGGAGGGAAAGGCGGAGAUAGCGAGAGGAACACGCGUGGCGAGGGCGGGUACCGGGACAUUAACUGACGCUGAGGCACGAAGGCCAGGGGAGCGAAAGGGAUUAGAUACCCUAGUAGUC
rnacentral:rRNA from 1 species